ensembl:lncRNA OVAAL ovarian adenocarcinoma amplified long non-coding RNA
AGUCUGCGAUUCCAGCUGGAAACGAUUUUGACUCAAGGGGUUUCUUGGCCAGAGGAGGCAGCUGUAUGGAGGCCAAUAUGCAGACAAGGGAAGUAACUCAGGCAUUUUGGGGGAGAGGUACAGAAAGAAGAGAAAAGACUGAACUGACUGCUGUUCUGAACAAGAACUGUGACUAUAUGUGGUACUCCCAGAAUGCUGGUUUCCUUUCAGACCCAUCAAGUGGCCAUCCUAUUGGCUUGGACUGAAGACCCCCACUGGAGAACUGUCUCUGCAGCCUAUACUGAUGACACUGGCCACUGUCCAGGGCUCCACCCCAAGGAGUCCAAGCCCCAGACAUUUAGCCUUAGAGAGAAUCCAGAUUUUGCAUUUCCAGUGCAGGGAUUGAUGGAGCCUUGUGUAUCAAAGUGCCAAUUUCUUUCUAACAAGCUAGGGAGGAUACCGUUGACAGCAGCAGAAAGGGGUAGCAGUGGUUUGCUUUCCAAAUGGUAAUAAGAAGGGCCUGGCAGUGGCAACCUGUCCACGUAUCAUUAAAAAUGGACUCUCCUGCUUCGUUUGGAAUUCAACCCAAUGAACUUGAAUAAACUCUGGACAAUGACCAGCACAGAGCCCUAAGCAGGAUACAGCAAGAUUAUUUGCUUUACUCAUCCACUGAGUACCUACCAUGUGCCAAAUACUAUGCUAUAUGCCGAGUAUACACUGGCAAAUAAAACAGAUAUGGUCCCUGGAGCCUAUGAAUCUUACCCCAUCUAGCCACAAAUAAUAAAAAUAAGAAGAAUCUGAAGGACAAGUGGGACAGAAAUACUCAAGCAGAAUGAGGGUGAGAUUGAAGUCCCUGAACAUACAGUGCCCUUUACACUUGAUCUUAGCCAAAAGGCCGAGAAGAGAUUACAGUGCUUUUUAAAGGUAGCAUUUCACCCAGCCAAUAAUCAAUCCCUUUGGCCUUCUUGAGGUGCAAGGCCACACACUCAAAUUCUUUAAUCAAACAAUAGGCUAGUGCAAAUGGAGCUAUUUCUUAAACCCAGCUGUUUACACAGCAGCUACAAAUCUGUUCAGAAGGAAUCCCCCACCAUCCACAACUGUCUAUCGAGCAGAUGUGCAAGAGUAUUUGUCUCUCACCACCAGGGUUGCAGUCAGGACAAGAGAGCAGGUUUGAACGUCUUCGGCUCCUAGAACUGCACAAGCUGUGUCUUCAGUGCCCAGAGGCGGCUGCAACGUCUCCCCAGUUCUCCUCUCAGAACAAUGGAAAUUUUUUUUAGAGGCGUAAUAGGAAGGUUUGCAUUGAAUUAUUAAACAAUGGGUAUUGAAAAAUAUGUUUUCUUUGACCUCUGUACUUCUAGCUUUUACCAGUCAGUGUUUUCUUGUACCAAGGCUAAGAUAUGUAUAACACUGAAAUGGAUGUCUUCUUAUAUAAUAUUUUACAAGCUUUUGAAAACCUGUGCCCUUUAAUAAAUUUUAAAACGUU